AUCUGCCAGUGGAUUUACUUUAAUACAGUGCUAUAAAGAGUGAAUGCUUGUCUAAUGAAAUCAUCUGACUGUUCUAGAACAGCAGUUGUGAAACCUUGUGGAAAGGCUGGAUAGAAAGUCUUAAAUGUGGCAGUUGGAUUGAGUGUUUCUAUUUUAAUUUAAUAUAAUGUAGCAUUAUGUGAUUGUCUUAAUGUAUUCUGAUUAAAAUAGAAAGGAAGUGAGAGAAGGAAAUUAAUCUUGCCUUUGUCAAGAAAAAUAUGAGUGAUCAUAAACAAAAAGAGUCCAUUAAAGCGAUGUCCCAUAAAGCUCUCAUGGACGUUAUUACACACUCUGCUCAGACGGGCUGUAAAGCCAUGUGUAAGAUGAUGGAGAUGUGACAGGCUUUGUUUUUCUCUUUCUCUGUGUUGUUUCUUGCUCUGAUCUUGUAGAGCCCUGACUGGAUCAUGCGUGUCUGAAAAUAGUCAUUAUCCUGGUCAUUCAGUCUGAAAAGCCUCCUCUGGACACUGACACGGAAGCAAUCUUCCCUCUCAUUUGUGCCCCGGCAGCUAGUUAACAUUUAAAGGGCCUAUAUCGUGGAGAAUAUGAUUGGUACAUCCAUUACAGUGGCUAAACCAUGUGCUGUGACCAUAAUGCCAUUUGUCAUAUGAUGUUGUUCUGCCAGUAAGUAUAAACAUCAAGGAUUACAUUUAUGGUUGUCUAACUAUAGUUUUUUCCUCGUACUAUUCCUCUGGAAAGUGCUGCUGUUUGAAAUGCUUGGAAUCUUUAAUGAAGUCACAGUCAAAUCUCUUGUCUCUGAAGACUUUAAAUUUUACACAUUUGGCAGAUGGUUUUAUUUCGAGCGACUUGCAGCAUUCAAAGUGUGCAUUUUAUCAUAUUAUGUUUCCUGGGAAUCAACCCAUGACAGUUACACUGCACUUUGAGUUCUGCAAGCACAGAAAUGCAGUUCCCCUUUGUAUUUGUUUCAAAUCCACCAGCAGCCAUGUUAAUGAAUAAUGCAACAAUUAUUUUGAAAACAGAAAAAUGUGCAUUAUAUACUCAAUAAUUUGCAUUCUGUAAAAGAUUAUUUAUUUUCCACAGUUUUGUUUGUGUCUAAUUGCAUCUUAUUGGCUGCUGUCAUAAAAAAUGUAUUAGUGUUAAUUCAGGUGAAAUUUUUCUUUACAAUUAAUUUUUUUUAUUUAUCUAUCCAUCUUUUCUCCAAACCACUUGACCUAUAUAGGGGAUGCAGGAACCUGUUUUGUUUUCAAUUUAUCCAUCCAUAUUUUCUCCAAACCGGUUGUCCUACAAUUACCAGUCAUGUGUGGUGUUCUCUGAAGAUGUGACCUCAUCUGUGAUUCACUUUGAACCGCCGCUUGCUUCAGCGGAACAAUGGCGCUGACAUCUUCAUAAUAUGAAUGUUGACAUUUGUCACACAGUUGUUUGUACGUGUUGCUUUCCCAGAUGACCUCUAAGCUCAUAAAACACUGGCUGAGUCAGAAAUUAAAUUCAUAUGCAUAAAUACCCACGAGUGGUAGAGAGAGAAGUGAAGAAAAAAUGCAACUCAGAUCUUAAAAACAUCUCAUUUGUUUCUUAGCAAUGAGAUUACAUGGAAAAUAAAUUGAGC